rnacentral:rRNA from 1 species
ACGGCGGCCGUAACUAUAACGGUCCUAAGGUAGCGAAAUUCCUUGUCGGGUAAGUUCCGACCCGCACGAAAGGCGUAACGAUUUGGGCACUGUCUCAACGAGAGACUCGGUGAAAUCAUAGUACCUGUGAAGAUGCAGGUUACCCGCGACAGGACGGAAAGACCCCGUGGAGCUUUACUGUAGCCUGAUAUUGAAAUUCGGCACAGCUUGUACAGGAUAGGUAGGAGCCUUUGAAACGUGAGCGCUAGCUUACGUGGAGGCGCUGGUGGGAUACUACCCUAGCUGUGUUGGCUUUCUAACCCGCACCACUUAUCGUGGUGGGAGACAGUGUCAGGCGGGCAGUUUGACUGGGGCGGUCGCCUCCUAAAAGGUAACGGAGGCGCUCAAAGGUUCCCUCAGAAUGGUUGGAAAUCAUUCAUAGAGUGUAAAGGCAUAAGGGAGCUUGACUGCGAGACCUACAAGUCGAGCAGGGUCGAAAGACGGACUUAGUGAUCCGGUGGUUCCGCAUGGAAGGGCCAUCGCUCAACGGAUAAAAGCUACCCCGGGGAUAACAGGCUUAUCUCCCCCAAGAGUUCACAUCGACGGGGAGGUUUGGCACCUCGAUGUCGGCUCAUCGCAUCCUGGGGCUGUAGUCGGUCCCAAGGGUUGGGCUGUUCGCCCAUUAAAGCGGUACGCGAGCUGGGUUCAGAACGUCGUGAGACAGUUCGGUCCCUAUCCGUCGUGGGCGUAGGAAAUUUGAGAGGAGCUGUCCUUAGUACGAGAGGACCGGGAUGGACAUACCUCUGGUGUACCAGUUGUCGUGCCAACGGCAUAGCUGGGUAGCUAUGUGUGGACGGGAUAAGUG